rnacentral:rRNA from 1 species
AAACUUCACACUGGGGGCAACCCCGAUGAGGGAAAUCCUAGUGCUAGGACAUUUGUUCUAGCUUUUCUCAAGCGUAGAUAACUUGAGGAAUAAGGGCUGGGUAAGACGGGUGCCAGCCGCCGCGGUAAUACCCGCAGCCCAAGUGGUGGUCGAUUUUAUUGAGUCUAAAACGUUCGUAGCCGGUUCAUUAAAUCCUUGGGUAAAUCGGAUGGCUUAACUAUCCGAAUUCCGGGGAGACUGGUGAACUUGGGACCGGGAGAGGCAAGAGGUACUUUUGGGGUAGGGGUAAAAUCCUGUAAUCCUAAAAGGACCACCGGUGGCGAAGGCGUCUUGCUAGAACGGAUCCGACGGUGAGGGACGAAGCCCUGGGUCGCAAACGGGAUUAGAUACCCCGGUAGUCCAGGGUGUAAACGCUGCAGACUUGGUGUUGGGGACCCUUCGGGGGUGUUCAGUGCCGGAGAGAAGUUGUUAAGUCUGCUACUUGGGGAGUACGUCCGCAAGGAUGAAACUUAAAGGAAUU